GAUGAAGAACGCAGCGAAAUGCGAUACUUGGUGUGAAUUGCAGAAUCCCGUGAACCAUCGAGUCUUUGAACGCAAGUUGCGCCCGAAGCCAUUAGGCCGAGGGCACGCCUGCCUGGGCGUCACACGUCGUUGCCCCCCCAUCUACUCCUUCGGGAUUGCGGGGGGCGGAUGAUGGCCUCCCGUGCGCCUCGUCGUGCGGUUGGCAUAAAUGCCAAGUCCUCGGCGACGCACGCCACGACAAUCGGUGGUUGCGAAACCUCGGUUGCCCGUCGUGUGCGGUCGUCGCGCAUCGAGGGCUCGAAAAAAUUGCCGGGCUCCGGCUCGGCUUUCAACGCGACCCCAGGUCAGGCGGGGUUACCCGCUGAAUUUAAGCAUAUCAAUAAGCGGAGGA
rnacentral:misc_RNA from 1 species